UCAUGUAUUUUCGUGGUUCUUGUGAAAUACUAGUUCAAGAUAGCAGUGAUGUCUCUUUCUUGUCUUUGUUGCACAUUUUGCACAUGUUUAUAAUAUGUUGAUUUACAGAUUAACAGUACACUGACAACACGGUUAUGGGGUGAGAUAGGAGACGUUUCGAGAUAUUUAUAGGACAUUUGGUUCCACAUACCUUAUGUUCAGUUAUAUUAUAGAACGACACAGUUGUGAUACUCGUGGAAUACACAUAUGAUGAAAAGA